GCAUAUGUGGUGUGAACAAAACAGUAUGAGAAACUAUGAUACCAUAAAUACUUUCUGAUGUG
rnacentral:snoRNA from 1 species